rnacentral:rRNA from 1 species
GAUGAACGCUAGCGGCAGGCUUAAUACAUGCAAGUCAAGGGGGUAGCAAUACUACCGGCGCACGGGUGAGUAACACGUACAUAACAUACCAUAUACUGGGGUAUAGCUUUGGGAAACUGAAGGUAAUCCCCCAUAACAUUGCGAGAGGGCAUCUGAUUGCAAUUAAAGUUUCGACGGUAUAUGAUUGAUGUGCGUUUGAUUAGCUUGUUGGUAGGGUAACGGCCUACCAAGGCGACGAUCAAUAGCUGGCGUGAGAGCGCGACCAGCCACACUGGAACUGAGACACGGUCCAGACUCCUACGGGAGGCAGCAGUAGGGAAUAUUGGACAAUGGGCGAAAGCCUGAUCCAGCCAUGCCGCGUGAUAGAUGAAGGCCCUCUGGGUUGUAAUAUCUUUUAUCUGGAGAAACAAUCUUAUUCUUAAGAUCUUGACGGUACCAGAGGAAUAAGCACCGGCUAACUCCGUGCCAGCAGCCGCGGUAAAGUAUCG